UCCCAGAAGGAAUGAAGAGGUUCUUGGAAAGCAGGGACGGACGGGCGAUUCUCUCUGUCAGCAUCAGCUCCCACCAGCGAGGACGGGGCGAGAAAGCGAAACGGGACUUUCCUUGCUGUCUAUUUUUUCUUCGUCAGGCCAACGCCGCUUGCUUGCAGGGGCGCAGGCGAGUUCCCGCCAAAUGGCGCGGGUGCGUGAGUUGCCGCCAAAUGCUAGCUCUGGAUGCCAGCUCGUUCCGCGUCUCAUGGUAGACUAGUUGGUGCAUUUCUGUUAUCAUGGACUGCGCAUAUAAACGCAAGCUACACAAAAGUGACAUGGACAAGAACAGCGCAAGCCUUUUACAUGCAGUGGAGCCGCCGUAUCUCGCCGUUCAAGAUAUGCGUACUCGAAGAAAAAAAAAAGAGGCUUUCCAUGAGAACGGAUCAAGCGUUCGAGAGUUGGGACAGGGAAAUGUGAGACGUACUUUCAUGUAUAUAUUUCUAAUAUUAUUUUUUCGUCUUGUAUUCUCGUUAAUUUUUCUCUAGGAAACACUGGAACGACACUGCUUAAAUUGAAGCACAGUGUGCGAAUGACCUGCUACGCUCGGAACUGUUAUCACCAUUCGGGAAGAAAUUGGAUGAAAAACCAUAACUGUAAAUACCUGUAUGAUAUACGUCUGGUGCAUUGCAGGUAAGAAUGGAUUGUGUGUGGCGCGCUUCACCGCAUGUGGACUAGAGUAGAUCUAGGAACAUCAGACAAGAAGACACGUAUGUGAAACCCUGCGGAUAGCCCAUAUGUGAACUUUUUUUCCAGAUACGGAGGAACGGACACCGGUCGUGCCGUGAGCACUAUUCUGCAGGGCAUACUUACAAAUGAAGCUGCACUGCAGUUCAGCUGGAAAGGGUCGCAGGGAGGAAGCACGCCUUCGUGAAGCUCAUGGCCAUCACGAAUAUAACAUCUGUGAGGAGCACGUUCCCUGACGCUUCACUAGCAUCAGUGGCCGGAGUCGCAAAACGCUGGUUGGUUGGAGCAGCUGACAGGGAUGGAGGCCGGAAUGAAAGAAGGCGCCGUGACCGUGCUUCAAGCCCACCAAAUAUGAACUAGUGUUUGAAACUUGUGAACGUGUCGGUGUACAUAUACAAUUACAAGAAAUAAAGACCUGUAUCAGAA